GGACAUGGCUCAGUGGUUAGGCUUCUGCUCCGGAAGCAAAAGGUUCUAGGUUCAAUCCCUGGCAUCUUCA